rnacentral:rRNA from 2 species
UACGUAGGGUGCAAGCGUUAAUCGGAAUUACUGGGCGUAAAGCGUGCGCAGGCGGUUGUGCAAGACAGGUGUGAAAUCCCCGGGCUUAACCUGGGAACUGCACUUGUGACUGCACGGCUGGAGUACGGCAGAGGGGGAUGGAAUUCCGCGUGUAGCAGUGAAAUGCGUAGAUAUGCGGAGGAACACCGAUGGCGAAGGCAGUCCCCUGGGCCUGUACUGACGCUCAUGCACGAAAGCGUGGGGAGCAAACAGG